AUCUUACACAUGAACCAACCCUAGAUGUAUGAAGAGAGACCACAUGAAGCAACUGUAGAGGCAAGAAGAGAGACCACAUGGACUAACCCUAGAAGUAUGAAGAGAGACCACAUGGACCAACCCUAGUGGUAUGAAGAGAGACCACAUGGACCAACCCUAGUGGUAUGAAGAGAGACCACAUGG